CAUGGAUCUAGCUCAGAAGGCCUUCACCAUUGGAAGGAAGCUAGAGGAUAAGGUGGAAGAAGCACAAGAAUAUGACUCUCGGUGGAGAGAAGACGCUGGAAAUGCUUCAGCAUAUCUAUUCUCUCAAAUAUCCAAAAGUGUGAUACAAAGCUGCCAGGAUGGGUUUUAUAAGUGAACCCCCUUGGCUGUGUGCAUGAAUUCCAUGACCCAUGAAGAGUG
rnacentral:lncRNA from 1 species